GACGAACGCUGGCGGCGUGCUUAACACAUGCAAGUCGAGCGGUAAGGCCCUUUCGGGGGUACGACGAGCGACGAACGGGUGAGUAACACGUGGGUGACCUGCCCUCAGCUCUGGGAUAAGCCUGGGAAACCGGGUCUAAUACCGGAUAUGACUCCAUGACGCAUGUUGUGGGGUGGAAAGCCUUGUGCGGCUGAGGAUGGGCCCGCGGCCUAUCAGCUUGUUGGUGGGGUGAGGCCUACCAAGGCGACGACGGGUAGCCGGCCUGAGAGGGCGACCGGCCACACUGGGACUGAGACACGGCCCAGACUCCUACGGGAGGCAGCAGUGGGGAAUCUUGCGCAAUGGGCGAAAGCCUGACGCAGCGACGCCGCGUGAGGGAUGACGGCCUCGGUGUAACGUACUUCUA
rnacentral:rRNA from 1 species